ensembl:lncRNA
CUCCGGGCAGCAGUGUCCCUAUAGGACUAGGAGCAUGUGUGAUGUUUAGCUUCUUUCGGUAAAUCCAGGGCUUUGUGUCACCCCCUCCCCAGGUCCUCUUACCCUACCACUGUGACAUGGCCGCCGGUGGCACAUUGACGCCUGUAUCCAUUCCUGACGGAGCUAAGCCGGAUCAGCCGUGUCGUCGACGCACUCUCGCUGCUUCCUCCCAGAACAUAAUCACAGUCAGUCUGCAGCCUCAGAAAUCCCCCAUCAUCACCAGCACUUCCAGCAGCAUCACCACCACCAUCAUCGUCGUCAUCAUCAUCAAAGGCUCCACCAUGUCUGUCAAUCAGAUAUACCCAGAGAGAGAAGACUGAAUAAUAUCUGCUUGAGGUGUCCAGGGAGAAGACCAUGCAUGAUAGUUCCCAAAUUUUGCCCUAGGAAAAAAGAGAGAAUGAUAUUCAUUGUAAUAGCAGAAAAGACAGAAAGCAGGUAAAGUCACUCACAAAAAAAUGAACAAGUGUGAUUCGAUGGCUUUUCU